rnacentral:misc_RNA from 1 species
UUGAGUGUAAAAACUCCCAACCCUAUGUGAACAUACCUAUCGUUGCUUCGGCGGAACGCCCCGGUGCCCCUUGCGGCCCGGAACCAGGCGCCCGCCGGAGGCCCCAAACUCUUGUUUGAACCGUAUUCUCCUCUGAGUGGAUUUUACAAAUAAAUCA